rnacentral:rRNA from 1 species
AUUGAACGCUGGCGGCAGGCCUAACACAUGCAAGUCGAGCGAGCGGCGGACGGGUGAGUAAUGUCUGGGAAACUGCCUGAUGGAGGGGGAUAACUACUGGAAACGGUAGCUAAUACCGCAUACCAUCAGAUGUGCCCAGAUGGGAUUAGCUAGUAGGGGGGGUAACGGCUCACCUAGGCGACGAUCCCUAGCUGGUCGGAGAGGAUGAACAGCAAUACUGGAACUGGGACACGGGCAAGACUCCUACGGGAGGCAGCAGUGGGGAAUAUUGCACAAGGGGCGAAAGCCUGAUGCAGCCAUGCCGCGUGUGUGAAGAAGGCCUUCGGGUUGUAAAGCACUUUCAGCGGGGAGGCGUUACCCGCAGAAGAAGCACCGGCUAACUCCGUGCCAGCCGCCGCGGUAAUAC